rnacentral:tRNA from 1 species
GGCAGCAUGGUGUAGUGGUUUGAACACUGGACUGUGACUCUGGAGAGCGGGGUUUGAAUUCCUGCUCAGCUG